GAUAAACGCUGGCGGCGUGCAUGAGACAUGCAAGUCGAACGAAGGAUCGGGCUUGCUCGAUCCUUAGUGGCGGACGGCUGAGUAACGCGUAGGUGACCUACCCCGAAGUGGGGAAUAACUGCCCGAAAGGGUGGCUAAUACCGCAUGUGGUCGCACGUUCAUUCGUGCGAGUAAAGCCGCAAGGCGCUUCGGGAGGGGCCUGCGUCCGAUUAGCUCGUUGGUGGGGUAAUGGCUUACCAAGGCGACGAUCGGUAGGUGGUCUGAGAGGACGAUCACCCAGACUGGGACUGAGACACGGCCCAGACUCCUACGGGAGGCAGCAGUCGGGAAUUUUGCUCAAUGGGGGAGACCCUGAAGCAGCAACGCCGCGUGAGGGAUGAAGGCCUUCGGGUUGUAAACCUCUUUUGUCAGGGACGAUGAUGACGGUACCUGGCGAAUAAGCCACGGCUAACUACGUG
rnacentral:rRNA from 1 species